CUGUCUUUUAAGGAAAAUGGUAUAACUCAGGAAAAAACCCCAAACAACAUGCAAGUUAUCCAGCUGCUCAUUUGCUCUUGAAAUAUUCACUGAAUUCUCUGGAGUCACGGGGAAUUCUCUGCUCCAUUCUCUACUUCAAUACAAAUUAUUUCAGGAUCAAUUACUUCACAGACAAAAGAAGCAAACAAAGCACCAAAAUCUGCAUCCUCCCUCCCUGUCUCAGACAGGAGGGAGCCAAAACUUGCUUGAAAUAACAAUACAAGCUGUGACAAGACACAGAUCCUGUCCAAAUCCAUCAAAAUGCACUUGGAGAAAAACAAACAGCAGAACAUUAGAAGAGCUCCCAGUAACACCAAGUAAUCUCGCUGAGUGUCACACAUUGUAAUUCUUAACACUGUUAAAACCAUCUCAACUACAAUCAAUAGUCAUCAACUUCAAAAGAUAGCUUCCAAAGAUGAUCCCAAUUAUUCUUUCAUGACAAUUAUCAGCCAACUUUGCUUCUAUUUUUAUUUCACAGCCACCACUGCUAAACUGCUUCCACAGCUUUCAUAUGAUAUGCUCAAAAAGAAGAAUGUUUUUCUAAACCAAUACAAGAUUCUGAAAGCAAUUCUUACAGAACCCAAGCCACUCUUCAGCACUUUAUUGCUUUGCCUAGAUGAGCAGAUUAGAAUACAUUUUCA